AUUGAGGAGUGAAGGGGGACUGAAUUUUCGGUGUAGGAGGGAAAUGCGUAGAUAUGGAGAGAACCACAGUGGGGAAGGGGAGUCCUGGGACACUCCUGACAUUGAGGCANGAAAGCUAGGGGAGCAAACAGGAUUAGAUACCCUGGUAGUCCUAGCUGUAAACGGUGUGUAUUUGCUGUAAAAGGAAUCGACCCCUUUUGUGGCGUAGCUAACGCGUUAAAUACACCGCCUGGGAAGUACGGUCGCAAGAUUAAAACUCAAAGGAAUUGACGGGGGCCCGCACAAGCGGUGGAGCAUGUGGUUUAAUUCGAUGCAACGCGAAGAACCUUACCUACCCUAGACAUCCUUGGAAUCUUGUAGAAAUACAGGAGUGCCGAAAGGAACCUAGAGACAGGUGCUGCAUGGCUGUCGUCAGCUCGUGUUGUGAGAUGUUGGGUUUAGUCCCGUAACGAGCGCAACCCUUAUCCUUAGUUACCAGCAUGUAAUGAUGGGGACUCUAAGGAGACUGCCGGUGACGAACCGGAGGAAGGUGGGGACGAGGUCAAGUCAUCAUGGCCUUUAUGGGUAGGGCUACACACGUGCUACAAUGGGGCAUACAGAGGGUAGCCAACUUGCAAAAGGGAGCCAAUCUCAGAAAGUGCCUCGUAGUCCGGAUUGAAGUCUGCAACUCGACUUCAUGAAGUCGGAAUCGCUAGUAAUCGCGAAUCAGAACGUCGCGGUGAAUACGUUCCCGGGCCUUGUACACACCGCCCGUCACACCAUGGGAGUGGGUUGUACCAGAAGUAAUUAGAAUAACCGCAAGGGGUUCGAUUACCACGGUAUGGUUCAUGACUGGGGUGAAGUCGUAACAAGGUAA
rnacentral:rRNA from 2 species